rnacentral:rRNA from 1 species
GCUCUGAAGAGGAUAUCACCCCACACGGGAUUGACACAGGCAAACUCUUACGGGAGGCACCAGUGGGGAAUAUGGCCAGUAUGGGCGAGACCUGAUCCAGCAAAUGCCGCGUGUGUGAGAAGGCCUUCGGGUUGUAAAGCAACUUGGACCAGGAGCGAAAUACCCAUCGGUUAAUAACCGGCGGGGCUGACGGUACCAUGAAGGAAUAAGCACCGGCUAACUUCGUGCCAGCAGCCGCGGUAAUACGAAGGGUGCAAAGCGUUAAUCGGAAUUACUGGGCGUAAAGGGUGCGUAGGCGGUUCGUUAAGUCUGUCGUGAAAUCCCCGGGCUCAACCUGGGAAUGGCGAUGGAUACUGGCGAGCUAGAGUGUGUCAGAGGAUGGUGGAAUUCCCGGUGUAGCGGUGAAAUGCGUAGAGAUCGGGAGGAACAUCAGUGGCGAAGGCGGCCAUCUGGGACAACACUGACGCUGAAGCACGAAAGCGUGGGGAGCAAACAGGUAUUAGAUAUCCCUGGUAGUCCACGCCCUAAACGAUGCGAACUCCAAGUUGGUCUCAACUCGGAGAUCAGUGUCGAAGCUAACGCGUUAAGUUCGCCGCCUGGGGAGUACGGUCGCAAGACUGAAACUCAAAGGAAUUGACGGGGGCCCGCACAAGCGGUGGAGUAUGUGGUUUAAUUCGAUGCAACGCGAAGAACCUUACCUGGCCUUGACAUGUCCGGAAUCCUGCAGAGAUGCGGGAGUGCCUUCGGGAAUCGGAACACAGGUGCUGCAUGGCUGUCGUCGGCUCGUGUCGUGAGAUGUUGGGUUAAGUCCCGCAACGAGCGCAACCCUUGUCCUUAGUUGCCAGCACGUAAUGGUGGGGAACUCUAAGGAGACUGCCCGGUGACAAACCGGAGAAGGUGGGGAUGACGUCAA